rnacentral:lncRNA from 1 species
CUCUCUCUCUCCUCUCUCGUUUCUUUCUGUGUUGAAUUUAUUUUCUAAGCUUCACUUGCUCGUUUUAUUUCUCUAUUUAUAGUAUCUUCGAUGUUAACUUGGUAGUCACUCUAUCUUCCUCACCUCUGUCUCUGGUCUCUGUCUCUCUGUUUUUGAUCUUCUGCUGUAAUCGUUGAAUGCCCAUAGUCUGAAAUUCGCUAGGGUUAGGGCUUUGAUUUUGCCUAUCAGUGGUAUUUUCUUGGUUGAAAAAAGAACAAUGUUGAUUUUUAUGAUCUCGUAUUGAUUUAUUUUCGCUCUCUCUACUCGUUCGGUUCUCUCUCUGUGUAUAUACGCACAUCUGUAUACGUAUAGUGUGCUUGUUUGGAGACUAGCUUAAGGUACUAUUUAGAACUUAGUGAAAUGGGAACAAACAUGAACUUCAAGAACUAUGGAAGCGAGCCGCCGUCGGCGAC